CUUGGUCAUUUAGAGGAAGUAAAAGUCGUAACAAGGUUUCCGUAGGUGAACCUGCGGAAGGAUCAUUACAGAAUGAAAAGUGCUUAACUGCAUUUUUUCUUACACAUGUGUUUUUCUUUUUUUGAAAACUUUGCUUUGGUAGGCCUUCUAUAUGGGGCCUGCCAGAGAUUAAACUCAACCAAAUUUUAUUUAAUGUCAACCGAUUAUUUAAUAGUCAAAACUUUCAACAACGGAUCUCUUGGUUCUCGCAUCGAUGAAGAACGCAGCGAAAUGCGAUAAGUAAUAUGAAUUGCAGAUAUUCGUGAAUCAUCGAAUCUUUGAACGCACAUUGCGCCCUUUGGUAUUCCAAAGGGCAUGCCUGUUUGAGCGUCAUUUCUCCCUCAAACCCUCGGGUUUGGUGUUGAGCGAUACGCUGGGUUUGCUUGAAAGAAAGGCGGAGUAUAAACUAAUGGAUAGGUUUUUUCCACUCAUUGGUACAAACUCCAAAACUUCUUCCAAAUUCGGCCUCAAAUCAGGUAGGACUACCCGCUGAACUUAAGCAUAUCAAUAAGCGGAGGA
rnacentral:rRNA from 1 species